rnacentral:tRNA from 1 species
GGCAUUGUAGUGUAGUGGUCUUAUCACUUCGGAUUUUGAUUCCGACGACCCAGGUUCGAGUCCUGGCAACGCCU